CCUACGGGUGGCAGCAGUGGGGAAUAUUGCACAAUGGGGGAACCCCUGAUGCAGCAACGCCGCGUGAGGGAAGACGGUUUUCGGAUUGUAAACUUCUGUUCUUAGUGCAGAAUCAUGACGGUAGCUAAGGCGCACGCACCGGCUAACUACGUGACAGCAGCCGCGGCAAUACGGAGGUGGCCAGCGUUGUACGGAAUGACCGGGGGUAAAGGGAGCGCAGGCGGGAAGCCAAGUCAGCUGUCAAAACUACGGGCUUAACUUGUAGACUGCAGUUGAAACUGGUGUUCUUGAGUGAAGUAGAGGUUGGCGGAAUUCCGGGUGUAGCGGUGAAAUGCGUAGAUAUUCGGAGGAACACCGGUGGCGAAGGCGGCCAACUGGGCUUUAACUGACGCUGAGGCUCGAAAGUGUGGGGAGCAAACAGGAUUAGAUACCCUUGUAGUC
rnacentral:rRNA from 1 species